AAUUUUAAAAUAAAUAGGUAUGCAAUAUAUUUUCGUUUGACUUUUAACAAAACAGUUGAGUACUAUAUGUUGACGAAUAUACACAUCUAAAAUACUAUCCAAUACAUCUAAACAUUCAAAAUGAAUUGCUGUGGAGCACUCUUUUGGGCCGUUAUUCUGUGUACAGUAGCUUUUCCUAUAGCUUUACUAUGUGCAAUUGUUUAUAUCAUAUUGCAUACGUUUAGCGGCAUUUGUCCAGGAUGUGAGGGUUGUUCAGAGACUUUCCUUAAAGGUGUUCAACUACCUGGUACUGCAGUUAGGAAAAUUGUGCAUUGUGAAUGUUAGCUAUUUAAGUAUAUGUACUAAGGAAAGGUAUUAUGUACAUUAGAGUUUAAGAUUUGAAUAUAAUGUUAAACAGGUUAUUUUAAAUUUAAUGAAUUAGAAAUAUAAAGACUGACAACUACCAAAA